CGCGAAUAGCUCAUUACAACAGCUAUAAUUACUUGAUCUUGACACAAUCCUACUUGGAUAACUGUGGUAAUUCUAGAGCUAAUACAUGCAUUAAAGCUCUGACCUCACGGGAAGAGUGCAUUUAUUAGAACAAAACCAAGCGGCCUCGGCUGUUUUCGGUUGACUCAUAGUAACUGAGCUGAUCGCAUGGUCUUGCACCGGCGACGUGUCUUUCAGGUAUCUGCCGUAUCAACUUUCGAUGGUAGUGUAUCUGACUACCAUGGUGAUCACGCGUAACGGAGAAUAAGGGUUCGGCUCCAGAGAGUUCGCCUGAGAAAUCGCGAACACAUCUAAGGAAGGCAGCAGGCGCGAAAAUUACCCACUCUCAGCACGAGGAGGUAGUGACGAAAAAUAACGAGACCGUUCUCUUAUGAGGCCGGUCAUCGGAAUGGGUACAAUUUAAACCCUUUAACGAGUAUCUAUGAGAGGGCAAGUCUGGUGCCAGCAGCCGCGGUAAUUCCAGCU
rnacentral:rRNA from 1 species